UUGCAAGUCCUUUGUAAGACUGAGCAGCAUGUUCAGCAGGAACUGUAAGUGUCUUCAUAUAUCUGUAUCUUUUUAGGAUGCACCAAUUUUUAAAAUGAUGUUGUUUUCCCUGUACACAAAAGCCAUCACUUCAAAAGCCUUUGAUUAAUUUGUGCACAAUCAAGGGCAUAUGAGAUAGCUGCCAUUUAGUGAGCCAAAGCAAUCCAAUGCCAACUGCAGUAAACCUAUCAAGCUGUCAUCGAGUCAAGCUGUGAGAAAGGCAGCGACGAUUACAAGCAAUAGUUUCCUUCAGUGGUUUCAUAAUUUCAAUUUGUUGUUACAUUUCCAGAUUUUCAAUACUUAUAGUAAGAAUGCUUUAGUAGAGAAAUAUUUUCCCCAGGGGUUACUAUCAACAACUUAGUGUAUUGGUUUUUACCCCCAUCAUUGCUUCAAGUAUAGAAGCUCAUCAGGCAAGAAAUAUUGUGAUUACAGUCAUAUAUAAAUUAUUUAAAGGGGUUCAGCCAAUCAAAACAGAGAUCUAAGUGACUAUUUUCCUUAUUUUCCUCUUGAUGCCUUUGUAACUCCUACUCAAAAAGCAAAUUUCUGAUUGAUAGAAUAGUUUUGAAGUUACUUCAAAAAGACCAUUCUUUUGGAUGGGAGGAGGAUCUCAAUAUGAAUGGUUCACAUACUUCCACAGUAGCUCUUUCAUGACAACUCUUUACAGAGGAGGAGGAGAGAGACCAAAAUAACAACAAGCAGGGGAAUAGGAAGUGGAGGGACACAGUGUUAGAAGGCAACGCAGGUAAUUAAGGUCUAUCCUGGAAAAAAAGAAGACUCAUGUAUUCAGAGGUUCCUCACAUAUCCCAGUUCUGGCUAAAGAAAGUAAUCACUGUUGAAUAAUCUGUUACCAAAAAGUCUCAUUCAAUAACCAGCUUUCACUCAUGCCUUCCAAUGGAAGCAUUUAGCACUCUGCAGAUAGCCGCUAUCAUGCUUGACUUCGUACUCUGAAUAUCACCUGCAAGAAACAAAAUGCUAAUCGCUUCUCAUCUGUCUCAAUUAAUCCAUUCCCUGCAUUUUGAGAUCUUUCUUUUUCUCCCUCCGCCUUUUUUUUAGAUCGUAUUCUCAUUGCCACAUACGAUUGUAUGUCCACUCUUAAUUAAAGCUAAUAAUCAUAGGAUAACUCAUUUUAGAUAGGAUCUGGGGUAAUAUUUUUUCUACAAUUUUGUAGGAGAAUUAGUACAGCUCCCCUUUUAUUUGCCCAAAAUUAAACCUGGAAAACCUAGAACUUCCUAAGAGCUAGCAAAGAUAUCCUCCAAAAUUGCCAAUAGUGGAUGCCUUAUAUUUGGAAAUUCAUUUUAAAACAUUAUUACCUUGUCCUCAAAGGACAUUCUGCAAGUGUCAUACAUACUUGUCAUACGUUAAGCAGUGGAGUUAAGACAGAAAGCUGAAUCUCCUAACUUACAGCAUUAGUGGAAAAGUGAAAAAAUAUACUAAAUAACCAUUCUGAACAAUAUGGAGAAUGAAUAGACUAGUUUGAUAGAUAAAGCUUUUAUUUAUAUUUUAGUUUUUGUAAAGGGCUAGUUCAACAGAUAUGAGCUUUGAAAUUACAAAAAUGUAGGGAUUACACAAAUAACACUCUCUCCUUAAAUAAGUCUGUUUCCUUUAAAAGCUUAUAAUACAGCAUCCCCCACUUUUGUGACUCUUACGGCAAAUACUUCACCAAAAACUCCAAUCAAUUAUGCAGUCUCCAUUACAAAGUUUGAGGAUUUUAAAGUAUCAAAAAGAAACAAGAGGUAAUAAACUCACUAUUAAAGCAUUUAGCUUGGCAAGUGAUUUAUCUCUGUUCAUUUAUCUGCUUAGGGUUUUUAUCUCACUGUGUGAGCAAAUUUCUACUGACAAGCAAUUUCUGGAGAGCAGCCAGAAGUGGGGGGGUGUGAGGGAGGGAGAAAGAUCUCCUAAGAUAUCAAAGACCUGAAAAAAGAAACCUGAUGAAGUGACAUUUGUGGUUUCAAAAAUAAUACACCUCCUCUAGUCUCCUGUUCAUUUACCAAAGAAAAGCUCUCUUGUUCUUUAGCUCCCAUUAUAUAAUGCAAUGUAUAGAAUAAUUGUGAACAAAAUAAUUUUCUGUAUGAGAUAUAUAAAAUCAUUUCGACCCAAAACAACCGAGUUAAAUGAUAGAAACGUGAUCUAUUGUUGCCUUGUACUUCCAAACAUUCUCCUGUUGAUACUAAUCCUGUCUAACUGAGUAUGAAUAGAACCAAAGAAUUUGCAUGGCAGAGUAGCCUAAACAGAAACUAAAAUGCUAGCCAUGUGUGAGUCACUAUUAUUAUUCAUUCAUUUGGGGUUCAAAUCUUCUGAGUAAUUUACACAUAGUAGACCCUCAAGAGAUGCAUUUCAUUAAAGUGACUUCUCAUUGCCGUUUUCUAUAAAUUAUUUUUAAUCUUAACAUGCUACCUCAUUUAAGCUCUCUGUACAGCAGCUGUAUAAAUACCGCUCAGGCAGACUUCUUGGCAAAUACAGCAAGGCUGCUACAAACAGCCAAAAACAAAGCGGAAUUGUUCUAGGAAAUAAAUUACUUGAACAGCGGAGGAGACUUUGCCCUAUUUGAUAUGGAAAGCACAGCCAUGGGUAUGGAUAUCAGAGCCUCAGAGUUAGGAGCUGCUCCAAGCCUUCUUCCCUAGAUGCCUCACACCCCUCCUGGACAACUUCCAAGUAUCACAGCUCUGGAUGGCCACUCAUCUUCUGUGUACAGACUCCAACCCAGCUGAAACCCAUUUCAUGAAAUGUACUUUAUAUAAACCUAAUUUAUUAAAGAGUUGCAUUCAUUAA
rnacentral:lncRNA from 1 species